UACGUAGGAGGCGAGCGUUGUCCGGAGUUACUGGGCGUAAAGGGUGCGCAGGCGGCCGUGCACGUGGAUGGUGAAAUCUCCCGGCUCAACUGGGAGGGGGCUGUCCAUACGGUGCGGCUUGAGGCUCGGAGGGGGGCGUGGAAUUCCGGGUGUAGCGGUGGAAUGCGUAGAGAUCCGGAGGAAGACCGGUGGCGAAGGCGGUCUGCUGGGCAGUUUCUGACACUGAGGCGCGACAGCGUGGGGAGCAAACAGG
rnacentral:rRNA from 1 species